rnacentral:lncRNA from 1 species
CUUCAUUCUUUUUUAAACAUCUGGAACAAGGUUCAAGAAAAGUGGAGUAAAGCCAUGGCACUAGCACUUUCGAUAAAGACCUAUGAACAACCUAAGACAACUGUGGAUGAAGUUAUGGCAGUGAAGAUUGGAUUGGAAAUCGGGUCACAAUAGGACAGAGCACACCUGGAGUUUGUUUAACAUCUGGAUCAGAACAAAAAUGUUAUCUGUUAGACUUGCGCUGUGAAGAAGAUGAGAAUGGAUGUGACCUCUUCCUGGGACAGAUGACAGAUUGUCAAUGAUUUUCUUUGGAUUAUUGGCCAAGGUUUGGCAGCCCGGAGAUUUUUUUGGAGGUAAAUACAGAUCCACAUUUAAUACAACGCAGGGAAAAAGUAGAAUCAGGCAUAAUAUUGAGUGUGAAUGA